UUCCAGAAAUUUUUUCUCUUUGCUUGCGUCUUGGCUGUGAUGGCCGUCGUCCAGUGUUCUGUAUUUGACGAAUAAAAUACAAAAAAAAUACUUUAAUACGCCCACUAAAGAAGGCAAAUAUACAAAUAAAAUACAGCUUUUUUUGUAUUUUAUUCGUCAAAUACAGAACACUGCCGUCGUCUACACUAACUCGGCACCAACUGAAGAUGAACCCGCUAAUUCCGACGAGCCGGGAGACCAGUUCUUGUUCUACUGUCGCUGGUUCACUUCUUGCAGCAACAGCACCCAGUGCUCGAGCAAUGUGAUCUACAAGACCUGCAACGGUGGCCGUUGCUGUAGAGAUUAAACAUGAGGUGUAACCUAGUCCCGCACGUUUUCUGACACCAACCACUUCUAAGAAAAAUUUGGUUUCCUUUCUAGUUAUACCCAUUCCCUAAUACAUCCCAAGUUAUAUUAAUUGAGUUCUAUCACGAGUUGUCAUGUCCGUCUCUUUUGUAAGAUUCUCAGUUUAACGGAAAAAAUACACUUUACCUUAUAAACUA